AUGCUAGACCUGAAGGUGGUUCCUAAACAUUCUCUAGAGUACGAACAAUGGGAAUUCACUCUGGGAAUGCCUCUGGCUGAGGCAGUAGCCAUUCUUCAGAAGCAUUGUCGCAUCAUCAAAAAUGUCCAGGUUCUCUACAGUGAGCAGUCUCGUCUAGGCCAUGACCUCAUCCUUAACCUGACUCAGGAUGGGAUCAAACUACUGUUUGAUGCUUUCAAUCAGAGACUUAAGGUGAUUGAAGUAUAUGAUUUGACUAAAGUAAAGUUAAAAUAUUGUGGCAUGCAUUUUAAUUCUCAGGCCAUAGCUCCUACCAUUGAGCAGAUUGACCAGUCUUUUGGCGCAACCCAUCCUGGAGUGUACAACUCUGCUGAGCAGCUCUGCCACCUCAACUUCAGAGGACUGCCUUUCUCUUUUCAGUUAGACUCAUGGACCGAGGCUCCCAAGUACGAGCCUAAUUUUGCCCAUGGCCUGGCUUCUCUUCAGAUACCCCAUGGAGCAACUGUAAAAUGAAUGUACAUUUACAGUGGAAACAGCCUAUAGGAUACCAAGGCUCCUGUGAUACCCCUGAGCUGUUUCUUUGGCAAUGUGUAUGCUGAGAGUGUAGAUAUUCUUCAAGAUGGAACUGGACCCGCAGGCUUACAACUUCGCCUACUUGCUGCAGGUUGUGGACCUGGCUUAUUAGCAGAUGCCAAGAUGUGGGUUUUUGAACGUUCAGUGUAUUUUGGCGAUUCCUGCCAAGAUGUUCUUAGCAUGCUUGGCUCUCCACACAAGGUCUUCUACAAGUCAGAAGACAAGAUGAAAAUUCAUUCUCCUUCCCCUCAUAAGCAAGUUCCAUCUAAGUGCAAUGGCUACUUUUUAAACUACUUUACUCUUGAGGUGGAUAUCUUCUUUGAUUCAAAUACACACAAAGUGAAGAAGUUUGUCCUACACACCAAUUACCCUGGGCAUUAUAAUUUCAACAUUUAUCAUCACUGUGAGUUCAAUAUCCCACUAGCCAUAAGGAAAGAAAAUGCAGAUGGUCAGACAGAAACAUGUACAACCUACAGCAAGUGGGACAACAUCCAGGAGCUCCUGGGCCACCCUAUGGAGAAGCCCGUUGUGCUGCAUAGGUCCUCCUCCCCAAAAAACACCAAACCAUUUGGCUCCACAUUUUGCUUUGGUCUUCAGUGGAUGAUCUUUGAGGUCAUGCAGAACAACCACAUUCACUGCCUCAAGAGAAAAAGGUCAGACUAC